CCGAAUCUGUGCUCUCCCUCCGAGACCACAUUUUCUUCGGAUUUAAACAAGAUCGAACUUGUUCCAUCUGAACUUCACAACUUUGCUCAUUAUUUACACUGCGACGUCGGCUCACUUCCGACAAGUUUUGCCAACGUCCCGACUGACUGUUCGAUCCGUUGAGGACAGACAGCGCUGGACUCGCCCGAUCGUGACAAGCUGCCACUGAGGACGUCGUUGGAGGAACAAACGUGGCAUUCGAUGUGGGGAUUUUUUCUUUUUUCUUGAGUCGUUUUUGUCUCCCAAGUCCUGCCCCCACCACCAGUUGGAAGCUGCCUCGACGAACAGACGGCAAAGGGGGGAUCCGUCAUCCACGAGCCGAACCUGGACCCCGACGUCUUGACGGUGAUGGGCUCGCCGAUGCCCGUCAGCUUGCCGCAUGCUGCAAAGGACAAGAGAAAAAACAGCAACGGCAUGCAUUUGAUGGGAAGGGCGUUGCGGUUGCGGUGUUAAACGUGCAGCCGGGUCGGGCGUCGCACAGUCGAUGGAAGAUGGAAGGAGCUGAGAAUGCCAAUCUUCCUCUUUUUGUGGGGGGGGGGGCGGCAUGACAUAUGUGUCACUUAAGGCAAAUUGUAGCAAAGUGGCUGUGUCUUGAUUUUUUUUUUUGUGGGAAAGGAAAAUAAAUGCCUCACCACC